UACGUAGGGCGCAAGCGUUAUCCGGAAUUAUUGGGCGUAAAGAGCUCGUAGGCGGUUUGUCGCGUCUGCUGUGAAAGACCGGGGCUCAACUCCGGUUCUGCAGUGGGUACGGGCAGACUAGAGUGCAGUAGGGGGAGACUGGAAUUCCUGGUGUAGCGGUGAAAUGCGCAGAUAUCAGGAGGAACACCGAUGGCGAAGGCAGGGUCUCCUGGGCUGUAACUGACGCUGGAGGAGCGAAAAGCAUGGGAGCGAACAGGA
rnacentral:rRNA from 1 species